GAGGGUAUAGCUCAGUGGUAGAGCACGUGCUUAGGAUGCACAAGGUCCUGGGUUCAAGCCCCGGUACCUCCA
rfam:Camelus ferus unplaced genomic scaffold scaffold914, whole genome shotgun sequence.